GAUAAACGCUGGCGGCGCACAUAAGACAUGCAAGUCGAACGGAAGUCGUUAUAAUGAUUUGGAUUUGAAGAUUUAUCGGAAAUGAAGAAGAUUUAUAACAAUGGCUUUAGUGGCGGACUGGUGAGUAACGCGUAAGCAAUCUGCCUAUUAGAGGGGAAUAACAGUGAGAAAUCACUGCUAAUACCGCAUAUGCCAUAGUUAUCGCAUGAUAAUAGUGGGAAAGGAGUAAUCCGCUAAUAGAUGAGCUUGCGUCUGAUUAGCUAGUUGGUGGGGUAAUGGCCUACCAAGGCGACGAUCAGUAGCCGGACUGAGAGGUUGAACGGCCACAUUGGGACUGAGAUACGGCCCAGACUCCUACGGGAGGCAGCAGUGGGGAAUAUUGGGCAAUGGGCGCAAGCCUGACCCAGCAACGCCGCGUGAAGGAAGAAGGUUUUCGGAUUGUAAACUUCUGUCCUUGGUGACGAAGAAAGUGACGGUAGCCAAGGAGGAAG
rnacentral:rRNA from 1 species